CACUCGUAGAGGUGCUGCAUGGCUGUCGUCAGCUCGUGUCGUGAGAUGUUGGGUUAAGUCCCGCAACGAGCGNAACCCUUGUCUGCUGUUGCCAUCAGGUUAUGCUGGGCACUCUGCAGAGACUGCCGGUGAUAAACCGGAGGAAGGUGGGGAUGACGUCAAGUCAGCAUGGCCUUUAUGUCUGGGGCUACACACGUGCUACAAUGGCCGGUACAAACCGUCGCAAAACCGUAAGGUGGAGCUAAUCGGAGAAAGCCGGUCUCAGUUCGGAUAGCAGGCUGCAACUCGCCUGCUUGAAGUUGGAAUCGCUAGUAAUCGCGGAUCAGCACGCCGCGGUGAAUACGUUCCCGGGCCUUGUACACACCGCCCGUCACAUCACGAAAGCCGGUUGUACUAGAAGUCGCUCUAUCAACCCGCAAGGGGGAGAGGCGCCUAAGGUAUGGUCGGUGAUUGGGGUGAAGUCGUAACAAGGUAAGCGUAGACGU
rnacentral:rRNA from 1 species